rnacentral:rRNA from 1 species
AUUGAACGCUGGCUGCAGGCCUAACACAUGCAAGUCGAGCGAGCGGCGGACGGGUGAGUAAUGUAUGGGGAUCUGCCUGAUGGAGGGGGAUAACUACUGGAAACGGUCGCUAAUACCGCAUACCCUCAGAUGAACCCAUAUGGGAUUAGCUUGUCGGUGAGGUAACGGCUAACUUAGGCGACGAUCCCUAGCUGGUCGGAGAGGCUGAUCAGCCACAAGGGGACGUAGACACGGCCAAGACUCCUACGGGAGGCAGCAGUGGGGAAUAUUGCACAAUGGGCGCAAGCCUGAUGCAGCCAUGCCGCGUGUAUGAAGAAGGCCUUCGGGUUGUAAAGUACUUUCAGUCGGGAGGCGUUACCGACAGAAGAAGCACCGGCUAACUCCGUGCCAGCAGCCGCGGUAAUAC